UGUUAAAUUCUCAUCUAUUUGUAAUGUUAAAAACUGGUUUGACUAACGGAAUAACUAAAUCAUAACAUGUGACAUGCCACUCUACCUCAAACUUAUGUAUAAGAAUCAAUUUUUAAUAAUAGAAAAAGAUUAAAAAUUUAAUA
rfam:Gossypium raimondii Chr07_contig_1384, whole genome shotgun sequence.